GAUGAACGCUGGCGGCAGGUCUAACACAUGCAAGUCGAUCGGUAACGCGGGGGCAACCCUGGCGACGAGAGGCGGACGGGUGAGGAACGCUUGGGAAUCUGCCUAUCAGCGGGGGACAACCCGGGGAAACUCGGGCUAAUACCGCAUACGCUCUACGGAGGAAAGCCGGGGACCGCAAGGCCUGGCACUGAUAGCUGAGCCCAAGUCGGAUUAGCUAGAUGGCGGGGUAACGGCCCACCAAGGCGACGAUCCGUAGCUGGUCUGAGGAGGACGAUCAGCCACACUGGGACUGAGACACGGUCCAGACUCCUACGGGAGGCAGCAGUGGGGAAUUUUGGACAAUGGGGGCAACCCUGAUCCAGCCAUUCCGCGUGAGUGAAGAAGGCCUUCGGGUUGUAAAGCUCUUUCGGCAGGGAAGAAAUGGCCUUGGAUAAUACCCAGGGUCGAUGACGGUACCUGAAGAAGAAGCACCGGCUAACUACGUGCCAGCCGCCGCGGUAAGAC
rnacentral:rRNA from 1 species